GCUUAGCCCUAAAUCCAAAUGCUUAACUUACCUAAGCAUUCGCCCGAGAACUACGAGCGCAAACGCUUAAAACUCUAAGGACUUGGCGGUGCCCCAAACCCACCUAGAGGAGCCUGUUCUAUAAUCGAUACUCCACGAUACACCUAACCAUCUCUUGCCCCAACAGCCUACAUACCGCCGUCGCCAGCCCACCUAUUGAAAGUACAACAGCGGGCAUAAUAGUUCCCCCACUAGCAAGACAGGUCAAGGUAUAGCUCAUGAGAUGGAAGAAAUGGGCUACAUUUUCUAACAUAGAACACCCCUUUUAACUCACGAAAGAGGGAAUGAAACACCCUCUGAAGGUGGAUUUAGUAGUAAAGUGGAACCAGAAAAUCCACUUUAAACCGGCUCUGGAGC
rnacentral:rRNA from 1 species